rnacentral:rRNA from 1 species
GUCCAAGCAGUAAACGGUGAAUAUUAAAUACAAUUAAUUUGUGUUAAAAUAACUUAUUAAAUAUUCCGCCUGAGUACUACGAUCGCAAGAUUAAAAUUCAAAAUAUUUGACGGUUCCUAAUUUCCAACCGGAGGAGCAUGUGGUUUAAUUCGACAACCAGCGAGAAACCUUACCUAACUUGGUUUAAGCAAUAUUUGUAAUAUACAUAUGCUUAAUCAGAUGCUGCAUGGCUGCCGU